UACGAAGGGUGCAAGCGUUGUUCGGAAUUACUGGGCGUAAAGAGCGCGUAGGCGGUCUAUUAAGUCAGGCGUGAAAGUCCCGGGCUCAACCUGGGAAUUGCGUUUGAUACUGGUAGGCUUGAGAUUCAGAGAGGUGAGUGGAAUUCCUAGUGUAGCAGUGAAAUGCGUAGAUAUUAGGAGGAACAUCAGUGGCGAAGGCGGCUCACUGGCUGAAUACUGACGCUAAGGCGCGAAAGCGUGGGGAGCAAACAGGAUUGAGAGACC
rnacentral:rRNA from 1 species